rnacentral:rRNA from 1 species
AGUGAACGCUGGCGGUAGGCCUAACACAUGCAAGUCGAACGGCAGCACAGUAAGAGCUUGCUCUUACGGGUGGCGAGUGGCGGACGGGUGAGGAAUACAUCGGAAUCUACUUUUUCGUGGGGGAUAACGUAGGGAAACUUACGCUAAUACCGCAUACGACCUACGGGUGAAAGCAGGGGAUCUUCGGACCUUGCGCGAUUGAAUGAGCCGAUGUCGGAUUAGCUAGUUGGCGGGGUAAAGGCCCACCAAGGCGACGAUCCGUAGCUGGUCUGAGAGGAUGAUCAGCCACACUGGAACUGAGACACGGUCCAGACUCCUACGGGAGGCAGCAGUGGGGAAUAUUGGACAAUGGGGGCAAACCUGAUCCAGCCAUACCGCGUGGGUGAAGAAGGCCUUCGGGUUGUAAAGCCCUUUUUUUGGGAAAAAAAAGCAGCAGGUUAAUACCCCGCUGUUCUGACGGUAACCAAAGAAUAAGCACCGGCUAACUUCGUG